GUAAACCAGUUGCAGAUGUGACGGGUAGUACCAAAGGGUCGGGAUGACGUCAUCAAUGAGCCCCCUAUUUUACGGGCCGUCUCCCGUUCCUAGCAGUCCGCUGAAAGGAGAGGUAGCAGGUAGGUCGCUAACUGGUGGGUUAUUUGUUAUGGGGGAAAUUGUCAGCUUACAGAUCUCAACCUUGCAGGUUUUGCCGGCCGAGUGGAGUCCCUUCGGACGUCGUUGGGGAGGGUUUAGCUCCUCAGCCUUUCCAGGUGGCGCACAAACUGCUGUUUUGCCGUAUCCGGGUGUUGCACGGGUGAUUAGAUGUACUGGGAGACUCGCUGCCUCCACGCAGACGCUCGCCCUAUCCUCACCGUGGUUAGGGACCCGGGCAAGUACAGAUUGUUUUACGGCGUUUGUUUUUUACUGAUGUACGAAUACAUUAUACAGUUUCUUCCCGUCGGCAGUCGGGCUCAUCAACAGAGCCCGGUCCCCCACUGCCUGACUAUAACACUCCACCGGUCACUUCCCUUCACACUGCACAUGCCACUUUAACUGCGAUUCAUCACUUUGUCACUUGUCACUUUGUCUCUUGUUUGUUACUUGUUUGUUAGUGCACUUUAUGCUUAAUAUUUU
ensembl:lncRNA